GUAGUGAGAUAUAUUAUGAUAUCCAUCACAGUAUCAUCAAAACUUCUUUUGAUGGAUUACAAUAAUUCUAACUCUAUCCUCUGAAGAUUAUCAAUCAUCAAGAUGAUGCCCAAUGAGUCCCAAAUCCACUAGUGAUACAUAGCAGUAUGCAGUGACAAUCUAGUAAAAUAAAAGAAUGAACUCUUAGAUAUAGUUAUCGUAUGAUUAAGUCCUUCUAUUA
rnacentral:lncRNA from 1 species